UACGUAUGGUGCAAGCGUUAUCCGGAUUUACUGGGUGUAAAGGGUGAGUAGGCGGUCAUGCAAGUCAUAUGUGAAAUGUCAGGGCUUAACCUUGGCGCUGCAUAAGAAACUGUAUGACUAGAGUGCAGGAGAGGUAAGCGGAAUUCCUAGUGUAGCGGUGAAAUGCGUAGAUAUUAGGAAGAACACCGGUGGCGAAGGCGGCUUACUGGACUGUUACUGACGCUGAGUCACGAAAGUGUGGGGAGCAAACAGG
rnacentral:rRNA from 1 species